GGAGUUAGCCGGUGCUUCUUCUGUGAGUGAUGUCCUUCCUGCCGGCUAUUAACCCGCAGGCCUUCUUCCUCACUGAAAGUGCUUUACAACCCGAAGGCCUUCUUCACACACGCGGCAUGGCUGGAUCAGGGUUGCCCCCAUUGUCCAAUAUUCCCCACUGCUGCCUCCCGUAGUAGUCUGGGCCGUGUCUCAGUCCCAGUGUGGCUGAUCAUCCUCUCAGACCAGCUACGGAUCGUCGCCUUGGUGAGCCGUUACCUCACCAACCAGCUAAUCCGACAUAGGCUCAUCCGAUAGCGCGAGGCCCGAAGGUCCCCCGCUUUCCCCCGUAGGGCGUAUGCGGUAUUAGCCUGGGUUUCCCCAGGUUAUCCCCCACUACCGGGCAGAUUCCUAUGCAUUACUCACCCGUCCGCCGCUCGCCACCAGGGAGCAAGCUCCCCGUGCUGCCGCUCGACUUGCAUGUGUUAGGCCUGCCGCCAGCGUUCAAUCUGAGCCAGGAUCAAACUCUGA
rnacentral:rRNA from 1 species